rnacentral:rRNA from 1 species
UACGUAGGGGGCAAGCGUUGUCCGGAAUCAUUGGGCGUAAAGAGCGCGUAGGCGGCCCGAUAAGUCCGCUGUGAAAGUCAAGGGCUCAACCCUUGAAUGCCGGUGGAUACUGUCGGGCUAGAGUCCGGAAAAGGCGAGUGGAAUUCCGUGGGUGAUAGCGGUGAAUGACGCAGAUAUCAGGAGGAACACCAAUGGCGAAGGCAGCUCGCUGGGACGGUACUGACGCUGGAGGCGCGGAAAGCGUGGGGGAGCAAACACGG